rnacentral:rRNA from 1 species
UACGUAGGUGGCAAGCGUUGUCCGGAUUUACUGGGCGUAAAGCGAACGCAGGCGGACCUUUAAGUAGGAAGUGAAAGGUUGGAGCUCAACUCUAACACUGCUCCCUAUACUGGAGGUCUUGAGUGCCGGAGAGGAAGACGGAACAAGUUGUGUAGCGGUGAAAUGCGUUGAUAUAACUUGGAACACCAAUGGCGAAAGCAGUCUUCUGGCGGAUACUGACGCU